GUUCCACCAGAAGGGGGAGUGCCUCUAUUCUCUCUGUGCUUUUGCCCCGCAGGGGAGGAAAAAAUACUUCCUGCAUCCAGCUUCAUUGACUGGGGCCCUGCAAAUUAGACUGACAAGACAGAUGAACAAGAGACAAACACACAGAAGUUUACUGACACACGCACGCUCAGACACAGGGGAGCACUUGGUGAGGAGAGACUCAGAGGGGUGGCUGGAACUCGGGCUCAUAAAGCAUCUUAACAAAAGGACAAUAAAUUUGUAGAGAAGUGACAAGACAAAGGAAAAGGGCUUUGAGUUUCUACAGGUGGCAAAUUGUGGGAAGCAGUUGCUAAAUUGCCCAAGAAGAGAUGGGAAAACGAAACGGAAGCAGCUCGAGCCCAAGGUGAGCAGGCCUCUGGAGCGCCAGGAGACGCAUGGCUAUUUGAAGAGGAAAGCAUUUAUCUGACAACGCUUGGCUUAAACAGCAAUUAGUCAGGAAGGAAAGACAAAGCCAUUUAGAAGGGACAGUUGGCAGGCCCCAGGCCAGCGCCGGGGAAGAUCUUCAGAACCCGAUACUGCACUUUAACAGGAAGCCUUAAUUAGUUCCUGGGGGAAUCGGACAGAGAGGUUUCCUACGACCUUCUUAUUUGCUUUCCUAGGGGUUUUGUUUUAGUUCCUUUUGUUCUUUAGAGCAACAGUUCCUCAAGGCCCAUGUCAAAGGAGACAUCCCCUAGUGGCCUGGGUGCUGCCGUGGACAUCUGGGCCUGGGGCCCGCAGUGAUCUGGACAAGAGUCUCGGGGUGACUGCAGAGGAGGAGGCACAUUCAGAGGGGCCUCGUAGCCGCGCCCUCACUGCACCACCCUCCCCAUGGAAGCUGCGCGUUAGCCACUCCCUGCUGAUUGACCAGAAGAGCCCUGUCUUAGCAAGGCACUUUGGAUCAAUCUCUUUUGAAGAACCUAGAGCCCCACAAGCACCACCACUCAGUAAAGGGUCCACUUGGGUCAUCGCCUCUCCCUGGAAGUCAGCUGAGGCCUGAAGACCUGAGGUUGUCGGGAUGAUGAGACACCCAGCGUCUGCAUCCAGCAUCUAUGUGCUCCAGACACCCCACUGUGAGUGGAGGGAAAUGCAGGCUCAUCCCUCUGCCCUUCAGCUGGACCAGUGGUGCUCCCCCUGGCUGCACGUUAGAAUCACCUGGGUUCAGACUCAGGAUUCGGGAUUCCAUCCCCAGAGGUUCUGAUUUACUGGGUCUGGGGUAGACCCAGACCUGGGGCGUUUUAGAAGCUCUGCAGGUGACUCCAAUGCCCUCCCCUGCUGAGCAGCCCUAUCCAGGUUAAGCCUCACCGCCUCCCACACGGAAUUGGGCAGGGGAGGCGUCUAUGCACAGCCCACUCCAACAGCCAGAGAGGAACUCCACAAAGCUCCAUUCCUGUCCCUAGAAACCUGGUUCCCAAUCAGCCUACAAGGUCCCUGCUAUACGGGACUGCGAUGUUAAUGGAAGACCCGGUGCCCACCCCAAGGGCCUGGGACCACAGCAACAUGAGGACAGGCAAGACUGCCAAACCCUUCACACCUGCAGGGAGCUGGACACAUACCAGACUGUCUUAAUUGGGCCAGAUUUUUCUACCUUCAACCCUAUUGCCUCCCUUCCUCAGAGAUGGAGUCCUCUCCAUUGCAUGUUAUAUGUCAUUGUGCUUUACAUUACAAAGUAUUCAUUUUAUUAAUAAUAAUUAUCCUGACUAGUAUAAUAAUAAUAAUAAUAGUAAUAAUAAGUAUCCU
ensembl:lncRNA